GAGGUUCGAAGGCGAUCAGAUACCGCCCUAGUUCUAACCAUAAACGAUGCCAGCCAGCGAUCCGGCUGCGUUCCUCAAAUGACGCGCCGGGCAGCUUCCGGGAAACCAAAGCUUUUGGGUUCCGGGGGAAGUAUGGUUGCAAAGCUUAAACUUAAAGGAAUUGACGGAAGGGCACCACCAGGAAUGGAGCCUGCGGCUUAAUUUGACUCAACACGGGGAAACUCACCCGGACCGGACACAGGAAGGAUUGACAGAUUAAGAGCUCUUUCUUGAUUCUGUGGGUGGUGGUGCAUGGCCGUUCCUAGUUGGUGGAGUGAUUUGUCUGCUUAAUUGCGUCAACGAACGAGAUUCUAGCCUGCUAAAUAGGCGUUCCGAUCCUUCGAGUCGGACGCUCUUCUUAGAGGGACAGGCGGCGUUUAGCCGCACGAGACAGAGCAAUAACAGGUCUGUGAUGCCCUUCGAUGUCCGGGGCCGCACGCGCGCUACAUUGAAGGAAUCAGCGUGUGCUUUCCCUUUCCGACAGGAAUGGGUAACCCGUUGAACCUCCUUCGUGCUGGGGAUAGCAAUUUGCAAUUUUCUUGCUUGAACGAGGAAUUCCCAGUAAGCACGAGUCAUCAGCUCGUGUUGACUAUGUCCCUGCCCUUUGUGCACACCGCCCGUCGCUACUACCGAUUGAAUGGUUUAGUGAGGUCUUCGGACUGGCGCUCGGAUUGGCUUUCGGGUCGAGCCGACGUGCCGGAAAGAGAC
rnacentral:rRNA from 1 species